UACAUGUGGGGCAAGCGUUGUUCGGAAUUACUGGGCGUAAAGGGUGCGUAGGCGGCUUGUUAAGUCAGGGGUGAAAGUUUUCGGCCCAACCGGAAAAUUGCCUUUGAUACUGGCGAGCUCGAGUGCGUGAGGGGUAACCGGAACGAGUCGUGUAGCGGUGAAAUGCGUAGAUAUGACUCGGAAGGCCAACGGCGAAGGCAGGUUACUGGGACGUACUGACGCUGAGACGACGAACGUGGGGAGCAAACAGG
rnacentral:rRNA from 1 species